rnacentral:lncRNA from 1 species
UCCCAGUACAGUGCAGAUGAGAAAAGGAUGCAGGAAAUUCUCUUGUUUACACAUGUGUCUGUUACACUGAGAAGCAAGAGGAGCCCAGCAAACUCAGAAGGUACAGAGUUGGCAUCAUCUAUCCAUGCUGAAAAGGGCAGGCAAAUUUCAGCCUAUCAUAAAAUGAUUAUAAGCCUAAGAGA